rnacentral:lncRNA from 10 species
GGAGACGCUCAGUGGGCCUUACUCCUAACCCAAGGCUGGGAUGCUGUGCCCUCCUUUCUUCAAUCAAGAGCCUGAAGGAAACUUGAGAGCAGGGCCAUGUCUGGCUCACUUCUGUGUCCCAAUAUGACCCAGAGAUGCUCUAAAAGUGUGAAUCCAAGGGCAGGGGCUUUAGUUGUGCAGCCCUAAAGUUGAUAAAGGUGGCCAGUCCCAGAACUAGAGAAGAGAAGACUGGGUUGAAAACAAGAGCUGUCAUGUGAAUAAGACUAAACCAGCUUGCUGAAGGAUGAAAAACCAUGAGGAAGAGACCCAAGUCAGCCCAAUUCUCCCCGCUGAAGCCACCUCAGACCAGCCAUACCCCAGCCGACCCACUGAUUGCAGAUUUGUGAAUCAGCCCAGCAAAGAUCAGCCAAGCUGAGCCCAGAACUGCCAAACUACCCAGCCAAUCUGCAAACUUGUGAGCUAAAUAAAUGCUUUACAUAAUUAAGU